rnacentral:rRNA from 1 species
GAUGAACGCUGGCGGCGUGCCUAAUACAUGCAAGUCGAGCGAAUGGAUUAAGAGCUUGCUCUUAUGAAGUUAGCGGCGGACGGGUGAGUAACACGUGGGUAACCUGCCCAUAAGACUGGGAUAACUCCGGGAAACCGGGGCUAAUACCGGAUAACAUUUUGAACCGCAUGGUUCGACAUUGAAAGGCGGCUUCGGCUGUCACUUAUGGAUGGACCCGCGUCGCAUUAGCUAGUUGGUGAGGUAACGGCUCACCAAGGCAACGAUGCGUAGCCGACCUGAGAGGGUGAUCGGCCACACUGGGACUGAGACACGGCCCAGACUCCUACGGGAGGCAGCAGUAGUGAAUCUUCCGCAAUGGACGAAAGUCUGACGGAGCAACGCCGCGUGAGUGAUGAAGGCUUUCGGGUCGUAAAACUCUGUUGUUAGGGAAGAACAAGUGCUAGUUGAAUAAGCUGGCACCUUGACGGUACCUAACCAGAAAGCCACGGCUAACUACGUGCCAGCAGCCGCAGUAA